AUACUAGGUGUGGGCAGUUCACACUGUCCGUGCCGCAGCAAACGCAGUAAGUAUCCCGCCUGGGGAGUACGGCCGCAAGGUUGAAACUCAAAGGAAUUGACGGGGGCCCGCACAAGCAGCGGAGCAUGUGGUUUAAUUCGAAGCAACGCGAAGAACCUUACCAGGGCUUGACAUCCACAGUAGGCUGUAGAGAUACGGCUGUGCCCCGCAAGGGGAGCUGUGAGACAGGUGGUGCAUGGUUGUCGUCAGCUCGUGUCGUGAGAUGUUGGGUUAAGUCCCGCAACGAGCGCAACCCUUAUCCCUAGUUGCUAACACUUUGGGUGAGCACUCUAGGGAGACUGCCGGGGACAACUCGGAGGAAGGUGGGGAUGACGUCAAAUCAUCAUGCCCCUUAUGUCCUGGGCUACACACGUGCUACAAUGGCCGGUACAAAGGGCAGCCAAGGAGUAAUCCGGAGCAAAUCCCGGAAAGCCGGUCUCAGUUCGGAUUGUGGGCUGCAACCCGCCCACAUGAAGUCGGAGUUGCUAGUAAUCGUGGAUCAGCCAUGCCGCGGUGAAUGCGUUCCCGGGCCUUGCACACACCGCCCGU
rnacentral:rRNA from 1 species